UUUUUUACGUCGUUGCCUGUUGCGCCGGUAGGCAUCUUCCUGGUGGGGCCUGAUGGUCGGCCCAAGGCUUCCUCCAGGUGGGGCCUGAUGGUCGGCCCAAGGCUUCCUCCAGGUGGGGCCUGAUGGUCGGCCCAAGGCUUCCUCCAGGUGGGGCCUGAUGGUCGGCCCAAGGCUUCCUCCAGGUGGGGCCUGAUGGUCGGCCCAAGGCUUCCUCCAGGUGGGGCCUGAUGGUCGGCCCAAGGCUUCCUCCAGGUGGGGCCUGAUGGUCGGCCCAAGGCUUCCUCCAGGUGGGGCCUGAUGGUCGGCCCAAGGCUUCCUCCAGGUGGGGCCUGAUGGUCGGCCCAAGGCUUCCUCCAGGUGGGGCCUGAUGGUCGGCCCAGCCCGUUCUGGCGCAGGCGAGUGUUUAUAGUUGCGCCAUCUUGCGUUGGCUCAUGCUGCCCCCCGGAACUCGUUCUUGAUUCGCUUGGACGGCUUCCUCUAGAGUCCGGGUUGAUGGGUGGUCUUCAGGACAGCAUGUGGGUAGUUUUAAGCCACUCGGCGGUGACUGAAAAAUCCGAGUGGUAGCGUGGGGAUUCGAACCCGCGUCGUCCAUCACGCUGUGAAUGUGGGCCCAGUACGCUACCAGCUCGGCCACCGCC